rnacentral:rRNA from 1 species
AUUGAACGCUGGCGGCAGGCUUAACACAUGCAAGUCGAGCGGAGAUGAGGUGCUUGCACCUUAUCUUAGCGGCGGAUGGGUGAGUAAUGCUUAGGAAUCUGCCUAUUAGUGGGGGACAACAUUCCGAAAGGAAUGCUAAUACAGCAUACGUCCUACGGGAGAAAGCAGGGGACCUUCGGGCCUUGCGCUAUUAGAUGAGCCUAAAUCGGAUUAGCUAGUUGGUGGGGUACAGGCCUACCAAGGCAACGAUCUGUAGGGGGUCUGAGAGGAUGAUCCGCCACACUGGGACUGAGACACGGCCCAGACUCCUACGGGAGGCAGCAGUGGGGAAUAUUGGACAAUGGGCGGAAGCCUGAUCCAGCCAUGCCGCGUGUGUGAAGAAGGCCUUUUGGUUGUAAAGCACUUUAAGCGAGGAGGAGGCUACUUAGAUUAAUACUCUAGGAUAGUGGACGUUACUCGCAGAAUAAGCACCGGCUAACUCUGUGCCAGCCGCCGCCGUAAAAC